CAUAGAGUAAAGAUCAAUAGGAUGCCUACUGGCUCCAUUAGCUUGGUGUAAAGAGGGGGGGAGAGGGAACCUGCUCUUCCGCAAGAGAAACUACAUUAUUCCAGGGAUUAUGCGGGAUCAGUUCACUUUGCAGAGGAGAAGAAGAAGAGAAAGUGAAUGAAGAUUCUUGGUGGGCCAAGACUGGAGAGAAAGGGCUUGCCAGGGCCCUUUCUGUGUCCAUGAAGACAUGUCAAUUCACUCACACAUUGCUCUCUACCUGAAGAUCUGGAGCUGUCAACAAGCAAAAGUACAGGAUGUGAGAACUCGUAUGGAAAU